UUGGGGUUGGGAGAGUCUUAAGGGGUUGUUGGGAGAGUUAGGGGGGUUGUUGGGAGAGCUCUGGGGGCUGUUGGGAGAGCUCUCAGGGGCUGCUGGGAGAGCUCUGGGGGCUGCUGGGAGAGCUCUGGGGGCUGUUGGGAGAGCUCUAGGGGCUGCUGGGAGAGCUCUAGGGGCUGUUGGGAGAGCUCUCAGGGGCUGCUGGGAGAACUCUGGGGGCUGCUGGGAGCCCUCCUCCUCUACGCCCCACAAGGGGUUCCGAGCCCGCCGCUCCUGCCACAGACGGAAGGCAGGGCACAGCCCUCCCACAGACCCUCCGAAGGUGGAAUUUUAAUUGGAAACAAAGGAACAGAGUCCCGCUGUUCGGAGCCGUCGGUGUGUGUGGCUGUGCUGCCCCCUGGCGGGCGCUUUCAUCCCCAGCCAAACUUGAUGCCCACAAUGGCCUAUUGUCCGAGCCCAAAGGGACCUCAGGUGCCCGGCGGCUUCGCCCCGCCUGGCAGUGCCCAAGAAGGCCCCCGGAGCCAGGUCCUUGUCCUUUCAGCGCCAAGAGAAGAGCAAUCAAACGUGGUGACCGGAACCGCCCCUCCCUCGGACACCCAAGAUCUGGUGACCUGGGAGGCAGAGGCAGGGGGCUGGAUGUCAUGACCCCCCAUGGAGGAGCGGGGCUGUUACAGUUGUCCUGGAGCUGGGGGCAGACAGAUCUUGGGGGAGGAUCCUGCCCUCUCCUCCAGACCAUUGAGGUCUUGCUGGGUCAUAGAUUUCAGACCUCAACUCAUUUUACAGAUGUGAAAACUGAGGCCUGGGGAAGCUAACUGCCCAGAGCCAUGGCAGAAGUAAGAAUCGGAGGCAGACAAAUCACUUAAAAACCCCCACCAACCCCAGUUUGCCUCCGGUUCCUCAGCUGUAAAAUGGGCAUCAUACUAGCCCCUACCUCUCUGGGUCGUAUCAGAGGAGAUCUUUAUAGAUGUGCUUACCACAGCAGCUGGCAAACAGUAGGCACUUAAUAAGUGCACAUUCCUUUCUCUCCUGCAAUCUAGUUCCACCCCCUGUUUACUAGAGGGGGAACUAGGGUCAGGAGGUGAUUUCCCAGCCGGGAGGUGAGGAGGGGAGACGAGCGCCCUCCUGUGUGCUCAGGUGGGUGGUACAGGGCACGGGUGCCCUGUGGUAGGGCUUGCCAGUCUCAGGGUCUUGGCAGAGAGCCCGAACGUUCCGCUCCCAGCUUCCCGGCAGGGGUCUCCUCCUCUCGGUUCCAGAAGGCGCCCGCCCUCUCAGGAGGGUCCCCGGGGCCAGCGAGGGGACGGGAGAGUCUUGUUUAAUGAGACCGAGGCACAAGCAGGCGGGGAGGGGCUGGCACUUGGCCGUGGCCUCCUGGAACUCUGGCCAAGCUCGCUCCUCCCCAGCAGUGCCAGAGGCCGGACCCCGGGCCCAGACCUUCUUCUGCAGAGGCGGCUCCGGGCUCAGUCCCCCCUGCGGGGGUCCCGGCUCAGACUGUCGGCGAGAGUUGACAGUAGGGAGCGGGGUCUGGGUCCUGCAGCUCCUGGGGGAGGGUAAAAGAGGGAGCUCGGCUGAAGUCUGGUUAGAGACGGGGAGGGGGCCCGUGGGAAAAGGAUUGGGGUCUUAGUGGCCUUUGAACUCAUCAGGACUCAAGAGUAGGAGCCAUAGGCGCUAAUGGGGCCAUCCUGAAGGGGAUUCCUGAAGGGGAAGGGGCGCGCUCCCCUCAUCGGAGCUCUCCGUGGGAGACAAAGGUCAGCCCUGCUGGAGGGGAUCUGGCUCCUGGAAGGGACUGUUGCCCAGCCCUGAGCUUUUAGAGUUCUGUCACACCCUCUCUGGGCACCUUCUGACGCUGUAAGAUGAGGCAGGAGGACUAGAAGCUCAGAAAAAUGCCAUCCCCCUCUUACAUUGCUGUUCUAAGGCCCCUCCCAGCCCUGACACCCCCUGUUCUAAGGCCCCUCCCAGCCCUGACAUCCCCUGUUCUAAGCCCCCUCCCAGCCCUGACAUCCCCUGUUCUAAGGCCCUCCCAGCCCUGCAUCCCC
rnacentral:lncRNA from 1 species